UAUAAUAUGGCGGAGGUGAACGCGAAUGCUCUAAGAUCAUUUUACGAAAGAAUAAUUUCUAUUAUAU
rnacentral:tRNA from 1 species